rnacentral:rRNA from 1 species
UGGGGAAUAUUGGACAAUGGGCGCAAGCCUGAUCCAGCCACGCCGCGUGAGUGAUGAAGGCCUUCGGGUCGUAAAGCUCUGUGGGGAGGGACGAACCGCCGAUGGUUAAUACCCAGCGGCAUGACGGUACCUCCUUAGCAAGCACCGGCUAACUUCGUGCCAGCAGCCGCGGUAAUACGAAGGGUGCAAACGUUGCUCGGAAUUAUUGGGCGUAAAGCGCACGUAGGCGGCUUGGCAAGUCGGAUGUGAAAUCCCUCGGCUCAACCAAGGAAGUGCAUCCGAAACUGCUAAGCUUGAGUACUUAAGAGGAUCGCGGAAUUCCCGGUGUAGAGGUGAAAUUCGUAGAUAUCGGGAGGAACACCAGUGGCGAAGGCGGCGAUCUGGGAAGAUACUGACGCUGAGGUGCGAAAGCGUGGGGAGCAAACAG